rnacentral:rRNA from 1 species
GACGAACGCUGGCGGCAUGCCUAACACAUGCAAGUCGAACGAGACGUUCGGGUCUAUUGGCGCACGGGUGCGUACCGCGUGGGAACCUACCCUUGGGUUCGCAAUAACUGACCGAAAGGGAUGCUAAUACCACAGAGUGUCUUAGGGCCAACGAUUUAUGGCCAUUGGAUGGGCCCGCGUUGGAUUAGCUGGUUGGUAGUGUAAAAGCCUACCAAGGCGACGAUGCAUAGCUGGUCUGAGAGGAUGAUCAGCCACACUGGGACUGCGACACGGCCCAGACUGGUACGGGAGGGAGCAGUGGGGAAUAUUGUACACUGGGCGAAGGUCUGAUACAGCAACGCCGCGUGAGUGAUGAAGGGCUUAGGGUUGUAAAGCUCUUUGACCCGAGAUGUUAAUGACAGUACCGGGAGAAGAAGCUCCGGCUAACUCCGUG